UUGCAGCCAAGUAAGCCGACCAGUCUGCGUGCCAGUCGAGUGCUGGUGUGCAAUGGCUGCAGACAGUAACCUCUCUGGUUGUGUAUGUUCCCAGCUAUACCGUGUUGGGCGCUGCAAGGGACCAUUGAGACAUUU